rnacentral:lncRNA from 1 species
UCUGUGAGACUGUGUUGCUGGGUCAGAUGGGAAAACAACGAGCCUUAGCUGUGAGUGUCAGACCAGCUCCUAGCAACACUGAGGCGCAGCUGAGUCAGACUAAGUUCCGAGAUGUCAGGAGCUGCUUUCCAGAGAAUCUGUCUACUGAGAGAAAAAGAAAGAUACAAAAUGAGACACCGCUUCUGUUCUGAGGACCCAUCCUGUGGAUAUGCAAGUCCAUCAACGCUAAACAAACUCAGGAAAUGGAGACGUAAAUGACAAAUGAGAGAUGAGGAGUAAGAAACCCAAACCACAGCAUACCAAGCAGAAACCUUGACUUACACUGGAAUCCCAUAUAGCAUCCUUCUUAAAGGAGAUUUUUCCAAUGCGUCAAGUGACGGCACCUUCCUUGGGGACACGUAUGGCAUUCUUUGUGACAGCCUGGUGUAGGUGCUACCUUUCCCAGCAAUUUAAAACCAUGGAAAAAUUCUUCUAUAGAGGAGUGACACUCUUGGAGACGUUAAGACAAUUAAUCUGCAAACAGUGUUGA